AUUGAACGCUGGCGGCAGGCCUAACACAUGCAAGUCGAACGGUAGCACAGAGAGCUUGCUCUUGGGUGACGAGUGGCGGACGGGUGAGUAAUGUCUGGGAAACUGCCCGAUGGAGGGGGAUAACUACUGGAAACGGUAGCUAAUACCGCAUAACGUCUUCGGACCAAAGUGGGGGACCUUCGGGCCUCACACCAUCGGAUGUGCCCAGAUGGGAUUAGCUAGUAGGUGGGGUAAUGGCUCACCUAGGCGACGAUCCCUAGCUGGUCUGAGAGGAUGACCAGCCACACUGGAACUGAGACACGGUCCAGACUCCUACGGGAGGCAGCAGUGGGGAAUAUUGCACAAUGGGCGCAAGCCUGAUGCAGCCAUGCCGCGUGUAUGAAGAAGGCCUUCGGGUUGUAAAGUACUUUCAGCGGGGAGGAAGGCGUUAAGGUUAAUAACCUUGGCGAUUGACGUUACCCGCAGAAGAAGCACCGGCUAACUCCGUGCCAGCCGCCGCAGUAA
rnacentral:rRNA from 1 species